rnacentral:rRNA from 1 species
GACGAACGCUGGCGGCGUGCCUAAUACAUGCAAGUCGAGCGGACUGAUUAAGAGCUUGCUCUUAUGACGUUAGCGGCGGACGGGUGAGUAACACGUGGGCAACCUGCCCUGUAGAUCGGGAUAACACCGAGAAAUCGGUGCUAAUACCGGGUAAUAUCUGAGAUCACAUGAUCUUAGGUUAAAAGAUGGCUCCGGCUAUCACUACAGGAUGGGCCCGCGGCGCAUUAGCUAGUUGGUAAGGUAAUGGCUUACCAAGGCGACGAUGCGUAGCCGACCUGAGAGGGUGAUCGGCCACACUGGGACUGAGACACGGCCCAGACUCCUACGGGAGGCAGCAGUAGGGAAUCUUCCGCAAUGGACGAAAGUCUGACGGAGCAACGCCGCGUGAGUGAUGAAGGGUUUCGGCUCGUAAAGCUCCGUUGUUAGGGAAGAAACAGUACCGAACGAACUAGGUCGGUACCUUGACGGUACCUAACCAGAAAGCCACGGCUAACUACGUG